AUUGAACGCUGGCGGCAGGCCUAACACAUGCAAGUCGAGCGAGCGGAGGACGGGUGAGUAAUGUAUGGGGACUGCCCGAUAGAGGGGGAUAACUACUGGAAACGGUAGAUAAUACCGCAUCCUAUCCGAUGAUCCAUAUGGGAUUAGCUAGUAGGUGAGGUAAUGGCUCACCUAGGCGACGAUCCCUAGCUGGUCUGAGAGGAUGAUCAGCCACACUGGGACUGAGACACGGCCCAGACUCCUCCGGAGGCAGCGGUGGGGAAUAGUGCACAGUGGGCGAAAGCCUGAUGCAGCCAUGCCGCGUGUAUGAAGAAGGCCCUAGGGUUGUAAAGUACUUUCAGUCGGGAGGCGUUACCGACAGAAGAAGCACCGGCUAACUCCGUGCCAGCAGCCGCGGUAAUUC
rnacentral:rRNA from 1 species